ACAACUCAAAAAAUCAACUUUAUAACUUCAUAAAACUUGAUUUUACACCUAAUAACACCAUGUUACCAAACAAACCUAGAAACCCUAUCCAUAAACAAUACAGAAACUGAAAAAUGAGUUAAGAAACAAGAAAAUGUCACAUGGAACAAAGUUAGCACAGCAAACAAGAAAGAAAAUCCCAAAAGAAAAAUUGUUCAUAAAACUGGUUUUGAAAUAAGAAAAGAUCAACCUAAAACACUUUCAGAACAAAUUAUGGAAGACCAAUCCAAGGUGAGAAAGGUAGGGAUAAAAAUGAAACAUAGUCUGUUAAAGAAAGAAAUUACUAUUGUAUGUCAAAGAAAAUUACAAUGAAAACAGAACAAACAAACAUUUAAGCUUUCAUUUCAUCUAGCAUUUGUCUGAGAUCUAUCAUCUGCUUCUCUAUUGGAGCUAACUGGAUUGUUACUGUCUGCAGAUAAAGGAC
rnacentral:lncRNA from 1 species